rnacentral:ncRNA from 1 species
AUAAAAGUAGUGAUGGAAAAAAGUAGUAUUGUAAAUAUCUUUACAGAGAGCUGUUGGCUGGUGUAAAACAGUAGGUGAUACAGUGUGAAGUUCUUUCCUGAACUGUAAGGCUGAAUGUUAUUUUGAUUAGUAGGCUGAACCGGGGUGGCACUCGUUAGAUAUGCCAUGAGUUGAUCUGAUUCAAGAUAAAUAGGGUGGUACCGCGGAGCAAUCCGUCCCUCGG